rnacentral:rRNA from 1 species
AUUGAACGCUGGCGGCAGGCCUAACACAUGCAAGUCGAGCGGAUGAAGGGAGCUUGCUCCUGGAUUCAGCGGCGGACGGGUGAGUAAUGCCUAGGAAUCUGCCUGGUAGUGGGGGAUAACUUCCGGAAACGGGCGCUAAUACCGCAUACGUCCUGAGGGAGAAAGUGGGGGAUCUUCGGACCUCACGCUAUCAGAUGAGCCUAGGUCGGAUUAGCUAGUUGGUGGGGUAAAGGCCUACCAAGGCGACGAUCCGUAACUGGUCUGAGAGGAUGAUCAGUCACACUGGAACUGAGACACGGUCCAGACUCCUACGGGAGGCAGCAGUGGGGAAUAUUGGACAAUGGGCGAAAGCCUGAUCCAGCCAUGCCGCGUGUGUGAAGAAGGUCUUCGGAUUGUAAAGCACUUUAAGUUGGGAGGAAGGGCAGUAAGUUAAUACCUUGCUGUUUUGACGUUACCAACAGAAUAAGCACCGGCUAACUUCGUG